GAUGAACGCUGGCGGCGUGCCUAAUACAUGCAAGUCGAGCGAAUGGAUUGAGAGCUUGCUCUUAUGAAGUUAGCGGCGGACGGGUGAGUAACACGUGGGUAACCUGCCCAUAAGACUGGGAUAACUCCGGGAAACCGGGGCUAAUACCGGAUAACAUUUUGAACCGCAUGGUUCGAAAUUGAAAGGCGGCUUCGGCUGUCACUUAUGGAUGGACCCGCGUCGCAUUAGCUAGUUGGUGAGGUAACGGCUCACCAAGGCAACGAUGCGUAGCCGACCUGGGAGGGUGGUCGGCCACACGGGGACUGAGACACGGCCCAGACUCCUACGGGAGGCAGCAGUAGGGAAUCUUCCGCAAUGGACGAAAGUCUGACGGAGCAACGCCGCGUGAGUGAUGAAGGCUUUCGGGUCGUAAAACUCUGUUGUUAGGGAAGAACAAGUGCUAGUUGAAUAAGCUGGCACCUUGACGGUACCUAACCAGAAAGCCACGGCUAACUACGUGCCAGCCGCCGCAGUAA
rnacentral:rRNA from 1 species